rnacentral:rRNA from 1 species
GCCUACGGGGGGCAGCAGUGGGGGAUAUUGCACAAUGGGGGCAACCCUGAUGCAGCGACGCCGCGUGAGCGAUGGAGUACUUCGGUAUGUAAAGCUCUGUCAGCAGGGAAGAAAGCAAUGACGGUACCUGACCAAGAAGCCCCGGCUAACUACGUGCCAGCAGCCGCGGUAAUACGUAGGGGCAAGCGUUAUCCGGAAUUACUGGGUGUAAAGGGAGCGUAGACGGCUGUGCAAGUCUGGAGUGAAAGGCGGGG